rnacentral:rRNA from 1 species
UACGAAGGGGGCUAGCGUUGCUCGGAAUCACUGGGCGUAAAGCGCACGUAGGCGGAUCUUUAAGUCAGAGGUGAAAUCCCAAGGCUCAACCUUGGAACUGCCUUUGAUACUGGGGAUCUCGAGUCCGGAAGAGGUGAGUGGAACUGCGAGUGUAGAGGUGAAAUUCGUAGAUAUUCGCAAGAACACCAGUGGCGAAGGCGGCUCACUGGUCCGGUACUGACGCUGAGGUGCGAAAGCGUGGGGGAGCAAACAGGG